GUAUACAGCUCUAGGAGAGCCCGAGCUCUGAUGAUGGUAUUCUGAUCCUCAUGGGAACCUGCAGUUCCCAGUGGAGCGUUUGAAGAAGUUUUGGUGGUGCCAUGGUUGGCGAGGUGUGGCAGGUAGCAGGGCUUUACCUGGAGGUGGCAGUCUGAUGACUGAAAGCUGCCACUCAGGCCAUCUCAUGUGUCUGUUACCAAGGUACCAAUCCUGUGCAGGUGCAGCUGUUGCCAACUCUGCCCCCCUGUGAUGUCCCGUUUCUGGCUCCAAUAACAGGCUAACUGACCCAGAAAAAGAGCAAACUGCAGAGCAUGCUGCCCCAAUCCUGGCACCCGUGAAAGCUUUCUGGGAAGACACCACGGCACGAGUUAACAUCUACAGUGCCUACAGCAAUUAAAUCAUUGCUGGGAUAGUUUGGCUGGCCCUGGGUGAAGUAAACACAUCCCAAACAAGCUGCAAGUGAAGUGAGAAACAACACGGGCCGUUCAAGAAUGCCAGCUGCACAACUGCUGACAAACAAGACAUGCUACUUUGAUUACUUCAGUGGAUACAAUGCGGUAAUGUAAUCAUGAGGGUGUGUGGUGACGAUGCCAUUAUUCCUCUGGUAAUGUGAGGGUAGGAAACAUCAAUAAUUACACAUGUGGCAUGAUGUAUGCAGUUCCUGUAGGCAGGCAGAGGAUAAUGACAGGUGAUUAGGACAGAACUGUUGCACUGUCAUACUUGUGGUGGCCUAUCCUGUCAUUGCUUCUAUCUGUGUACUGUAAUACCAAUGAACUAACCAUGCACAGCAGUGUAAAUCACUGUUUACAUUAGAGUUGACUUCUAGUAGAGUCGGACUGGAUUGAUUUCUACUAGUACAGGCCCAAUUUACACUUGGCCAAAAAAAUCUGUCCUAGGACAUUUAACUCGCCGUGCACCGCGUGUCACAGGACAGAUAUAUUUUCGCCCUGUGUAAAUUGGGCCACAGUUCAUUAUUCAA